UAACAGGCUUAUCUCCCCCAAGAGUCCACAUCGACGGGGAGGUUUGGCACCUCGAUGUCGGCUCAUCACAUCCUGGGGCUGUAGUAGGUCCCAAGGGUUGGGCUGUUCGCCCAUUAAAGUGGUACGCGAGCUGGGUUCAGAACGUCGUGAGACAGUUCGGUCCCUAUCCGUCGCAGGCGUAGGAAAUUUGAGAAGACCUGUCCUUAGUACGAGAGGACCGGGAUGGACGUACCUCUGGUGUACCAGUUGUCCUGCCAAGGGCAUGGCUGGGUAGCUAUGUACGGAAUGGAUAAGCGCUGAAAGCAUCUAAGCGCGAAGCCAACUUCAAGAUAAGAUUUCCCACCGCAAGGGUAAGACCCCAGAAAGACUAUCUGGUUGAUAGGUCGAAGGUGUAAGUGCAGCAAUGUAUUUAGCUUAUCGAUACUAAUAGGUCGAGGACUUGACCAAU
rnacentral:rRNA from 1 species